CAGCCUAGGUCCACAGAAAUUCCUGGUACUUCAAGCCCCCAUUCUAGGUCAGACUAGAAUAAGAGGAAAGGCUACCCAUGAGUUUUUCCUUCAUCUUCCUGCCCCUCAUCGCCCACUCCAUCCUUCAUCCUCCAGGUCCCCUGUGGGAUCGCAGCCUCAGCAAUGAAGUCUAACUUCUCCAAAUAUACAGGUAUCUGCUCUGAGCUCUGAGGCCCCUGCCAAAGGCAUCUCAGGGAUUCGAGAAUCUGAUGUAAUUCUGAUGCAGUGCAUGAUUGAAGGAAUGGUACCUUCAGGGCAGAGCCAAAAGUGUACCAGGAAGAAAUAGAAAAUAUGAACAGACCAAUCACAAGCACUGAAAUUGAAACUGCGAUUACAAAUCUUACAAAGAACAAAAGCCCAGAGAAACAGAGCUGGAGGAAUCAGGCUCCCUGACUUCAGACUAUACUACAAAGCUACAGUAAUCAAGACAGUAUGGUACUGGCACAAAAACAGAAAUACAGAUCAAUGGAACAGGAUAGAAAGCCCAGAGAUAAACCCACGCACAUAUGGUCACCUUAUCUUUGAUAAAGGAGGCAAGAGUAUACAAUGGAGAAAAGACAGCCUCUUCAAUAAGUGGUGCUGGGAAAACUGGACAGCUACAUUUAAAAGAAUGAAAUUAGAACACUCCCUAACACCAUACACAUAAAUAAACUCAAAAUGGAUUAAAGACCUCAAUGUAAGGCCAGACACUAUAAAACUCUUAGAGGAAAACAGAGGCAGAACACUCUAUGACAUAAAUCACAGUUAGAUUCUUUUUGAGCUGCCUCCUAGAAAAAUGGAAAUAAAAACCAAAGUAAACAAAUGAGACCUAAUGAAACUUAAAAGCUUUUGCACGGCAAAGGAAACCAUAAACAAGACAAAAAGACAACCCUCAGAAUGGGAGAAAAUAUUUACCACUGAACCAACUGACAAAGGAUUAAUCUCCAAAAUAUAUAAGCAGCUCAAUAUCAAAAAAAACCCAAAAAGCCAAUCCAAAAAUGGGUGGAAGACCUAAAUAGACAUUUCUGCAAAGAAGAUAUACAGAUGGCCAACAGACACAUGAAAGGAUGCUCAACAUCCCUAAUCAUUCGAGAAACGCAAAUCAAAACCACAAUGAGGUAUCACCUCACACCAGUCAGAAUGGCCAUCAUAAAAAAUCUACAAACAAUAAAUGCUGGAGAGGGUGUGGAGAAAAGGUGACCCUCUUGCUCUGUUGGUGGGAAUGUAAAUUGAUACAGCCACUAUGGAGAACAGGAUGGAGGUUCCUUAAAAAACUAAAAAAAAGAACUACCAUACGACCCAGCAAUCCCACUACUGGGCAUAUACCCUGAGAAAACCAUAACUCAAAAAGAGACAUGUAUCACAAUGUUCAUUGCAGCACUAUUUAUAAAAGCCAGGACAUGGAAACAACCUAAGUGUCCAUCGACAGAUGAAUGGAUAAAGAAGAUGUGGCACAUAUAUGCAAUGGAAUAUUACUCAGCCAUAAAAAGAAACGAAA